GCCUAGCUCAGUUGGUAGAGCAUGAGACUAUUAAUCUCAGGGUCGUGGGUUCAUGCCCCACGUUGGGCA